AGGGUGAAGAAGUCGGUUGGCUGAAGGGAAGCCCGCUGCUUGCAGAGGACGAAGAUGACCAGACUGUUUCCGAACCAGGACAGCCACCCUGCGGAAGCACAGACGCAGCAGACGGGCUCUGCAACCCUCCUCCACCCUGGAGCGAUGCUUUGGGAUGGUCCGGUCCUCAAACACCAUACUGGGGUCUGAGUUCAUCCAUGCAUAGAGCCGAGCCGCCAAAGAUUUGUUUGUUUCUGCACAUCCUAACAUCAUAAAUACAUAUUCACUGGCA